CACUGUUGAAGUAGUGAGAAGAAAAUAAACUGGACAUGGCUGACUGGUCUAUUAGUGGCGUGGGUGGAGGACACACUCUGAAAAUCGUGGAGAAAACGUGGCCUGCGAAAGAAGUUUUUCAAGUCUGAAAUUCAUCAAGAAUUGGUCAAGGAGUACUUUAAAUUCUGACCAUUUGGAGGCAUUUAUUCAGAUGUCAGUGGAAAAAGACAUUCUCCAGGGUAUAGACCACGAUGCUAUUAUUGAUGGUGUGUUGACAGAAAGUUUGUUACUAGCGAAUUAAAUGCAUUAUCAAUAAUUUUAUUCCCCUAUGCCAAUAAAUUGUGAUUUGUAUUAUUUCCUUAUUGCAUGAUUCUAGUUUGUUUGUUUGUUUUUUCCCCUGUUGCUGAAUAUAUGUUUAAACAGUUUUAAUUUGAAACUUGUUAACCUAUCAACACUACUUUCAAUGGGAACAAUGUAUUUUUGGUUGUUACUUGUAUAUGUAUGCAAGUAAAUUUAAUAAAGUCAUAAUUAUAAGUUUUCUAUUUUGUUUUGUGUA